GACGAACGCUGGCGGCGUGCUUAACACAUGCAAGUCGAGCGGUAAGGCCCUUUCGGGGUACACGAGCGGCGAACGGGUGAGUAACACGUGGGUGACCUGCCCUCAGCUCUGGGAUAAGCCUGGGAAACCGGGUCUAAUACCGGAUAUGACUCCAUGACGCAUGUUGUGGGGUGGAAAGCCUUGUGCGGCUGAGGAUGGGCCCGCGGCCUAUCAGCUUGUGUGGGU
rnacentral:rRNA from 1 species